AUCACCCUAUCUUUCACCAAAAAUCAUGAAAAUUAUACUACAACACUCUUACAACUCCUACAAUACAAAUAUGAUUUUAUUUCGACAAGAAAACAAGAUAAAAGGGCUAAAAUAAAGCAAAACAGUCCCCUAAGACUCUUUUUUUCAUUUUGGCAUUUUUUCAAAUGGUUAACAUGCAUGCAUAAGACACAUUUCCUUUUCCUCAAUCUAGUUCAUGUCAUUUCCCAAAUUUCAGCAACACAACAAUUACAAUAAAAAGCCAGCAAACAAGAGAAAUUAAUAUACAACAACAACAAUAAAACCAGCAAAAGCAAGAGAAAUUGGGCAUUGAAACAUGGAUGUAAAUAUGAUAAAAAAACUGGAAAAUACCUCAAUGUAGGUGGUAAUCCCUUGACCAAGAUGUUUGACACAAUUUCCAAGCCUUGAGCGUAUCUUCCUAGCUCCCUUUGGUGAUUGCUUUGUGUGUGGAUGUGUUAGAAGAAAUCGAGAGAUCGAGAGGGAGAAAGAGCCGAGACAAAAAAUGGAGAGCUUUUUUUUUUUUUUGUCUUUGUUCUUUUGAGGGAGAGAGCCGAGAGGGAUGGAAAUUUUCUUUUUCUUUUGUGGCUUCUCUUCUGUGUCCUGUGGGAGAGAGCCGAGAGAGGGAGUGUUUUUUUGUUUCUUUUUCGGUCUUGUCUGAUGGUCCAUCCUGAGAGCAGAGAACCGAGAGGGACUUGUAGCCAAAGUGGAGCUUGUGUGUAGGAUCUGCCAAAAUGAUGAUUUCUCAACUAAUGAAAAGAAAAGUCCAUGGAUAUUGAGUGUGAAAUGGGUUAAUAGUUAAUUUGGUGAAACAAAAUGAUCAUGAUGAUUUUUUAUUUUUUAGUUUCUUUUUUUUUGUGUUUUUUUUUCUUUCUUUUCUCUUUUUUUUUUUUAAACAAACCUGCAAAAAAUGAGAAAAAUGCACAUUAAAAUGCAAGAAAAUAAAUAAUUCAUUAAAUAGAAAAAAUUCAAGAAAACAUUGAAAAUUGACAAAAAUUUGGUGUCUACAGCUUGCCCCUCUUUGUCUAGAGUUUCAAAGAAACUCAAAACAAAAACGUAGACACCAAAUUGCUUACCUGUCUCUUCUAGCUGUACCUAAGCUAAAAUAAACAAGCCAACACUUGGCUGAAAUUAUUGGACAAAAUGAUGCAAUAACAUUGCAGAAAAUGUGACCGAACCCAUGUAGAGUUGCCUACGUAUCCCACCAUGAGAAUCAGGUCAAACGUAGUUCGAAUGCAAGUGAACCACAAUGAAACAAUUGCAUUGACCAACUGUUAUUUUUGCAAAGUCGAAGAAGUCUGAGCUCUCAGAACUUCUAAACAUGAAGCACAAGAUAACUGAGAAAGCACAAUUAUUAAUCAAAAUAGUCAAUAAAAGUAACUUGUCAUAACUAGAAAAAAAUGCGCGGAGGGACGCGAUUACGCUCCAAGAAGGGGGAUAGAAGUGUGCGCGGCGGGCGCUGAGACUCACCAACAGAACUUUAAAUUGUCAAGAAGGGGAGAUAGAAGGGUGCGCGGUGGACGCUGAGACUCACCAACAGGAAAUUAAAUUUGAUUUUUUUAGAAAAAGAUACGUGGAGGAACGCGAUUACGCUCCAACAGGAAAUUAAAUUGUCAAGAAGGGGAGAUAGAAGGGUGCGCGUGGACGCUGAGACUCACCAACAGAAACUUAAAUUGUCAAGAAGGGGGAUAGAAGGGUGCGCGGUGAACGCUGAGACUCACCAACAGGAAACUAAAUUUGUCAAGAAGGGGGAUAGAAGGGUGCGCAGUGGACGCUGAGACUCACCAACAGGAAAUUAAAUUUUCUAAGAAGGGGGAUAGAAGGGUGCGCGGUGGACGCUGAGACUCACCAACAAGAAAUUAAAUUUGAUUGCCAGAAGUAAUAGAUUGGUGAGAUAAGACCUAAGCCCAAUAAAAUAAAACGGUUAGUGGGAUACAACCCAAGCCUGCCGUAGUUAGUGUGAUACAACCCAAAUCCAACAAAAUAAAACGGUUUUGAAAUAAUUUUUCAAAUUGCAAUUUUUCAAAAUUUGUCCCAGUGUAGGGCAUCCUCUUUUUUUUUUUUUUUUUCAAAGCAGAUUUGAAAUGCAUUUCCAAAAUUGGAGCUCACUCUUUUUGAUACUUGCAUCAAUGUAAAUCAUGUUUAGGAAAGGCCACAUUUUCUUGCCUUCGAGAGGCCGAAAGAGUGAUCAUAUAAUACCAAUACCAUGUGAUUCCUUGUGGUCCUUUUGGCCCUGAGAACCAUGCAAGCAUGAUCUUUUGAUAUCAAAACUGCUCCUCAAGAGUUGUGCUGCAACUUGUUUUGAAUCUUCUCAAUUUUCUAGCAUCAGUUAGCCAUACCUCACUUUGUACCACAAAUCAACUUUUCUAAUGAUCAGAUUUGAAUGAAUGGCCAGUAUUUCAAGUGUCGGCAUCUCGCUUUUCGUUCAUGAUUCUCUUGUGCUCCAAAAUCUCACCUUGAUGACCUUAACGUUUCGGAUUUUCACAAAGGUCACACCUUUUAUUUUAUUUUGUUUUCAUUUUCUAUUUUUUCCUUUAUUUUUGUCUUCCUUCUCUUUUUUUUUCUGUCUUUUUUUUUUGUUUUUUCUUCUCUUUUUUUUGUUCUUUUUUAUUUUUCUUUUUUUGAGCAGACACCCUUUCAGGUUUUCACCUAAUGAACAAAUCUUGUCAAUGACCUUUAUCAACUCAAAAAUGUGUUUUAAGGAAUGAUGGCAUCAGUGCAACAAUCCUUCCCAUGCAAAAUUGGUGAAGGUGUAUUGACAUCAUUUGCCAUUUGAUUAAGUGAUUUUUAGUAGAGAUACUACUAAGGCAGAGGUCAGGACUUCAUGAUUUUUAUUAUGGGGUCAAGUGGGGUGUGGAAGAAAUGUUAAGGCUUCAAAGCAAAAUCUCCAAAGAGGUUUCAAAAACCCUAAGACCGCGUUCUAUCAAUAUUUGCCCAGUAUAAGGGUAUUAAAACCGAAAAAAUUGCCCCAAUUUGGCUUUUGACUCUUUUUUUUCUUUUUUUAUGACAAAUAGGAGAUAAAAAUUUACCCCAGUAUGGGUUUGCAAUCUUUAUGAGGGCUAUCAAAUGAAGGGUUAAAUUAUUCUGGAGGUUCAAUGGGGAAAACUAGGGGUAAGAUGUUCAAAGAGAAAAGAAAAAAGGCUCGCCUUUGAUCCGCCAUAGAUGGUAUUUCAAAAAGAAAAAUCACAUAAUCAGAUAAAAAAUUUAUUACACAUGUCUGAAUUGAUUGGCAGAGGAAAGACCUGUCCAUCCAGUUCUGUAAGAAUGGAUGUUCCUCCGAAUAGCAUUCUUUGAACAAUAAAUGGCCCUUGCCAUGUUGGAGCAAACUUUUCUUUAACCUCCUCUUGAAUCAGAAGAAUUUACUUCAAAACUUUAUCCCUCACUUCAAAUAAGCGAGAUUUGUCUUUCUUGUCAUAACCAACGAACCAUCCUUUGUUGAUAACAUUGUUCAUGGCAGGUAGUAUUCAACCUCUUUUUCAUCUAUUGGAGAUAGCCACUCAUUGUGCUCCUUGAUCCAUUUAAUUUCUUCUACCAGAGUCUUCGUCCAAAUGCGCAAGGACGGGAUCUCGGUUUUGGCAUGUAUUACCACUUCCAUUUCGAAGCAUAAGAGGGUAAGGUGUUGCCCUAACUUAGAAAUGUAAUCUCCAAGUGAAAUGCCCCCAGAGUUCAAUUGCAAUAUUUGCAAAAUUAAAUGAAAGACUCUUGUCUUUUUUCUUUUUUUUUCUUUUCACUCCCUCUUUUUCUUUUCUCUUCUUUUUUUUUUCCUUUUUUUCUUUUUUUUCAUUUUCCUUUUUUAUUUAUUCCCCCUGUUUUCUCUUUUCUUCCUUUUUUUUUCUUUUUUUUUUUUUUUUUUUUUUUUCCCCCUUUUUCUUUUCUCUCUUUUUUUUUCAAGUUGGCUGCUGAAAUAUGUACUUCUUUGAAUAAAUAGCCGAUCCUUCACUUUGCAAUAUAACAUUAUUGCCUCCUUUUUAUUCAUGAUUGACCUCCAAAUUUGCAAGUUUUGAGUUGCGUCUUUUCCUCGAACUUAACCAUAAACACCUGCACAAGGGGAUUUUUCAAAGCACAUGAGUUUUUCAAAAUCUCUUUUUUUUUUUGUUUUUUUUUUUGCAAUGAUAUAACUAUUAAGACUCAUGCAAAGUGUUGAAUUAUCAAAAUUUGAAAAUUAUGUACUUGAUCUUGGACAUACCCUACAAAUAUAUUAUAAAAUUUUGCCACAAUUUGAACUUAUUUGGUGAAAUCUCACAGAUAUAUUACAAAAAAUUUACCCCAGAUUGAGCUUAUCUUAGUUGCAAAAUAAUCAGAUGCAGUGUGAAUAGGAACUACAAUUUUUUUGUUAAAAAAAAUGAAGAAUUUAAAUGUCAUAUCCAAAUUCAUAUAGAAGACUUCAUGAUAAAUAUCUUAAAACAAGAUCAAAUUGCAAAAGAUCUCUUCCUCAUUUUGGGAUCGGUGUUGAGGGAAAAGGGUCCCUUUCUUGUUAGCUCACUUUUUAGGACCAAUCAAAUGGGUAUUAUUUAGGAUUUUGAGGUGGCUCAGGGAGAUGAUAUAUCAUAAUCUGUCUUUUUUUUUUUGUGUAUCCAACACAUUCAAUAUCACAUCUUAGUGAAAGCAAAUGGUUUAUCACUCUUAUUUCUUGAGAAAAUUUAGUCAACAUAUAAGCUCUAUAGGCUUGUAAUGUAUGGGUAGAAACAAUAGCUAAACAUAUGGAAACAAGUUAUAGUCUCAUGAUCACACAUGAUUGAUAGGUUCCUUAAAGGCAAAAUCUUCACUUUAAAUUGUCAUGAAAAAUAAGUCAACAAUGGAUUUUAUAAGCUUGUAAUGUGGCUUGACAAUGAUAGCUAAAAGAAAUAAAAUUUCCAAGGUCAAUGCACUUAAGAUCGCAUUCCUUCCCAAAAAUUGCCACAGUUUUGGACUUAAAAUCCAGAAUCCCAUUUUGACUCCCUUUUUCUUAUCAAUCCUCUUUCUUCUUCAACAAUCACUAAGAGGAAUGCAGCAUUGGAUGUCUUCGCAUUUUUCUUUUUUUCUUUCAUCAUUUUUCAUUUUUUCACAUUUUUCUUUUCUCUUUUUCUUUUUAAAAAAAAAUUUUUUUUUACCAAUACUGAUAUCCCAAUAUCAAUGAUAAAAUUGAAAACUCCCUAAUUUGGAGUGUAGAUGGCCCCUCUUUCUUUUUUGAUAUUGAAGACCAAAUAUCAAUGGUAGAGUCAAAUUCCCCCAACUUGUAGCAUUUUCUCCUUUCUUCUUCUUCUUUUUUUUUUAAAAAAAUCUUCCCCAGUGUGGGGGUGCAAUCAUAAGUGCUUUUGAAACGAACCACCAAUUUAGGCUCAAAUGAGGAAGCAAAGGAUAAAAGUGUUUAGAUGGUAGAAACGAUGGCCGAAGCAUCAUUCUUAUUUCUCAUGACAACCAAAGUAAAGAAUAACCCGUUGAGAAAAUCCAUUUCCAUUUGACAUUCGAAAAUUUUUCCAUUGGGUCAUGAUCAUUGAGGCUUUUAUUUGAAACGAAAUCCUAUUUUUUGAAGUCUCAAAUGGGAAAAUAAAUGAUAAAAUCUGUAUAGAUAGAGAAACGAAAACCUAAAGUAUCAUUCCAAAUUUCCAAAACAAAUAAGAAGUAAUGUACAUUUUUGCUUUCACUCAGAUGUUGAUUGAAUCUGGUUAGACAUACUUGACAUUUUCACAGUAAAAUUGUCUCACUUUGAAGCUAGUCAAUUAAUGCGACUGACUUUGGAGGUUCAAUAGAAGUGGACAAAAAAAAUGAAAAAGAAAAGUGUCGGGGUUGAUAUUUUAUGACAAACUAUCAAAUUUGAAUGACCACUUUUGUUUCCGACUACUCUCAUUGAAUAGUUUAGACCACAAAUCUAGUGUAUGCAAAGAAUUUUGGAGAUUGGACAUACACUCAUGAAUUUUCGAACAAGAGGUCGAAAAAUUUCAAUUUAACCUUAUUUCUUAAAAUCUACCAUGAAAUCUCCCAAUGAGCAAAUAAAAGAAUGAAUAUAUACAAAACAAUAAUUGUUUAAAUAAAAACUUUAUUAUUCAAAUGUUUGAAAAUUUUUUUUCUCAAAUAUAAUACAUGUGAGAAAAAAAAAUCUCUAAAGAAUACAAUUUCAAAUAUAUAAACACUUUUCUCUUUCUAUCUUUUGAGACAAAAUGUAUUAGAAACAAUGAAUCAAAAGAUUUUAAGAUGCUCUAGACUGGCAUUUUUUUACAUUGUAAAAUCUGCCCAAGAAUCAAGUAACACUUGUAAUUUUCAAAAUUUAUCAAACCCAAAAAUAUUAUCAGAUAUAGAAAAAUUUUUUUACCUUGCUGAAAUAACUUUUAUAAAUACAGGGGAAGGAGAAAAUAAAAGAAAAAUACCCAGAGUUAGUAAACAAAACUGUAAAAUCGAUAUGCAUGUCCUAUGGGGAGCCCUUUUAUACCAAGGGUUGGCCUAGUAUGAAAAAUGCAAUCCUCUGGGUAGACACCAUACAAUACCUGAUGGAUCGAUCGACUUAUUGAGAUUCGAUUGAAGAGCAUUUGAAAAAAAAAAAUGGCCUAAUUGGAUUUUUUUUCGAAAAUGAUAGAUAACUAACAAAAUGAGGACAAAGUCCGAAUGGAUUGAUUGUUUUGAUUGACACAUAAAAUGAUAUUAAAAAUCAAUUUAGUGUGAAACACUUAUUUUUGAAAAGGAUUGAAAUGUCUCGACUAGUUUUUCGGUGAACCAUAGAUCGAAACUUUAAAAGAGAAUAAAUGAGUUAAAUGAAUCGAAUGAAAUUGAUGGUUAGUUCAAAAAUUGACUGAUUAUCCUGAAAGUGAAUAAAACUGAUCCAAUGGAUUGGAUGAAAUUAAGAAUUUAUUCAAAAAAAAUAAAGUUGACUAAAUGAAUAAUGAAUUGUAUGGAAUGAUAAUUUUUCAAAAUGAUUGUAUUGUCCUAAAAAUGAAUAAAUUGGUCAAAUGGAUUGGAUAGAAUUGACAGUUUAUUCAAAAAUCGACUGGAUCACUGGCCAAAUGAACAAAAUGAAAUUGAUGAUUUAUUCAAAAUGAAAUUGAAUGAAAAUGAAAUUAAAAAUGAGCAAAAUUGUAUGGAUCGAAUCAUCUAUAAAAAAAAUCGACUCAAUCAUCUUAGAUGUAAAAAUGGAAUGAAUGAAAUUGAUGAUUUAUCAAAAUCGAUGGAAUUGUCUGCCCAUUGGUAGUUUUAAAAAUUCAUUGUGAUUCAUUAGUCUAUGAGUUUUUUAAAAUCAAGAUUUGGCCUUGACAUACUUAUCAUCUCAACAAUGAGGAAUUUGUGAAUUUCUUCAACUUAAUGUCCUUUAUGCAAGGGAUUUUUACCAAUUUUGAUAAAAUGGCCAAAAAGUGAUUAUUAAAGGCUCAUAUUCUAAUGCGUAAAAACUGUUCCAUCAUUCUCAAUGUCGUCACACUGAAGGGAUCGAAUUCUACCUUAUCUUGUGCACUACCCCUUUGGAUGGUACAAAAAUAUAAACGUGCAAUUCUCAUUAGAUUAUAUAUCCGAGACAAAAGGUGAUUUAUUCCUAACGUGGGAUUCCCUAAAUGGCAUUCCCUCUAUGGUUGAUGCAUGAUACCAAUUUAUUAAAGCGUAUGAAAUAAUUGAAAUAUGACCUAAAAGUGCCCCAUUUAAAUGCCAGGGUAAGCCUAAAAUGAUGUGCAAUAUAUAUAUGUAUGCAAUUAACUAAAAUUUAAACAUGCUUGAUGUAAAAGGCGGUCUUAUCCUAAACGAGUACCAUGUUAGGACUCUUAUUUCUAAAGUUUGUGUAUGCAGAAAAAGGGGAAACAAGGAGAGUUUAGUUCAACAAGUAGCAUAUAACACGUAGUGACAAUAAAUGAUACAAGAAUGAAAAAUAAAUAAAGCAAAGAAAAAGGGGUGAAAUCCCUUCCCUCGUGUCUAGUGUUCCUAAUUGGGUAGAGUUGACUCUAUCCUAGGUAAUUUCUAAUAUGCAUGCAUGAGGUAUGGCUUACUAAUGCAUCUAGACUCGAUAAGGUUUCAGGCUCCCAAACCUUCAGACCAAAAGGCUAAGGGUCAUCAAUCCCAAGACCUUCGGUCGGCUUGAAUGAUCCCUUAGGCAUCGUUAUGGGCGCAGAGCACACCAUCCGCCUACCUAAGGAAAUCGAUCCUAAUCCAACAAGGAGAUGUGGGAUGGCGCCCACGAAACAUAAAAAUAGGAUAAAAAUAAUGCAUGCACGUAUGAAGUGCUUCCUUUUGAGGGAGAGAUUAUAAUGAAAACAUGCGUGAAUGCUCUAAAGUGGUAUUUCCCUCCACCCAAGAUGCAAGCGCGAUACAAAUAUAUACAAACAUAAAUAAAUGAAAGUAAAUAACAUAUCAUCGUAUACAUGAAUAUCGAGAGACAGUCGCGUGUGUGAAAUGCAAUAAUCCUAAAAAUGAGGAAAAAGAAAAAGUAAAAGGAAUAUGCAACCCAAACAUCCAAAUAUGAUAAGUGAAAGGAUUAGAAAAAGAAAAGACAACUAAGCCAAGUGCUUGGACUCUCUAGUGUCCCCAUUGAAGUCGCCAAGUUGUCGCGCCCCAUUUUUUGCGAUGGAAAAAGAAAGUGUUUAUAAAAAAAUGUGUUUACAAGGGAUGUGAUUUUAUUUUAAAACAAGUGAAAAAGAACCUAGAAUGGGACUUAAAAAAAUGCGACAAUUUGUAUCCAAAUUUAGUCUAAAAGAGUUUUUAAGAAAAAUAGGAGUCGCCAUUUGGUAUUGAGUUUUGGUGUACCAAGUCACCCCAAAAAAUAUUUUUUGACAAAAAUAAAAUAAAACAAAAUCCUUUUUGACAACUCCAGGUCUUUGAAAAAAAAAGAGAAAAAUGGAUUCGGGAGUCACGAUUGAAGAAAGGGAAGGCAAAGGUUCGAUUAACUCAAACCUAAGGCACCCUUUCAACCUAGUCUAAGCUAGUUGCGAGGUUUAGUCAAAAAUUUUCUAAUCUAACCCUUAAUUUUAUCAUAUUUGGAUGUUUCCUACAUGGAUGCAAAUCUAAAUUUAUAAAAAAUAUCGAAAGGGACAAAAUGUUCAUUCAAGGGUUUAAUUGAACGAAUCGCAUUAAUUGCGAAGGCCAAAAUGAUUUUUGAAAGUGUCACGAGUAUGCGAAUGAUGAAAUUAAAAUAAAAGAAAAGAAAUUAAAUUAUAUACAUAUAUAUAAGUGAUCAAAGAAAAAGGAAUGCAGCAUAAAGGGUACGGGAGACAAAAACUCGUGACAUAAUUUUUUUAUAUAUGGAUUAAUAGGCUAUUUAAACUAAAAAGUUAUAAUCACCCAUUUCCCAUGUUUGAAAAAUAAUUAUCCUAACAUGAACAAGCAAAUGAACUAGCUUAAAUGAAAUGUAAUUCUAAAUGACAUGAUUAGCACCUAUAGAGGGUAGGGGAUAAUAUAAUAGGGAAUAUCAUACGAAUGAGAAAAGAUCCUAAAAAUGAAAAUAUGCAUGAAAAUGUAGUGAAUAGCACACAAAGAUGAAUCUAGCGCAAGACGACCUAAAGGGUCUAGCGUUGGACUAGCCCAUUUCUAAAAGUCCUUACUAGCGUUGGACUAGCAAGUAAGCGGAGGGAGAAGCCACAACUAGCAUUGGACUAGUGUAAUAAUGUCAUGCAUUAACAAUUCAUAGUGAAAUAAAUAAAGCAUAAAUUAAAACACAUAAACACAUAAGAGCACGUAGCACAUAACACGUAAACAUAAUAUUUAGAUGCCAAAAAUCCUAAAAAAAGCGGAUAAAACAUAUAACACAUAAGCCACAUAAACACGCAACCUAUCUAUUACAUCGAAGAAUCUAACUACAAUCUAAAAUGGGAAAGAUAUGAUAAAAUAAAAUUAGUUAUCCCAUCUAUUACAUUUUGAGGUAUUUAAAUGCCUCUCGAGUAAUUAUAAAAAUUAACUAAACAAAUAUAAUAUAAGAAAAUUUAAAUGAACAUUUAAAUCCAAUAAACAAAGCAUAUAAAAAUAUAUAAACACAUAGGAACACAUAGGAGCACAUAAGAGCACGUAAUUGGCAUUGAAAUAAUAAAAAUAGGAGUACCUCCCGUUUGAAGCGGUGAAUAAAUGGAGUCAAAUUGUCCUAUUUAUACUCACAAUGAACAAAAGAAUCAUGGCACCAAUUUAAUUUAAAAAAAUAAUAAAGUACUAAAUUCACACUAAUAUGUCAAACGCAAAGAAAUUUUAAAAAAAUCUAACAAUUACAAGUUAAGUAUAUUCAAAAGUAACAUAAUUGGCUAUUAAAGAAAAAGAAGCAAUCAUAAUAAAGAGAGUCAAAAUUCACUAGGGACUGAAUUGCAAAAAUUGAAAAAACUUUGGGGACAAAAUUAUAUUUUUCCAAAAUGUAGGGAUCAAGAUUAAAUAAAAGAUAAAAUUCAGGGACCAAAAUGAAAUUAAUUUAAGGACCUACAUGCAAGAAAUUUAAAAUGGUCUGGGCGCAGUGAAAAAUACUUGAAAGCAUAGGGACUGAUAUGCGAAAACGUAUUCUUAUUCCUUAACAAAUCAGGCCACUGGACAUCAUUUUUAUUUCUUUGGGCCAAAUAUUCCUAAACCCAGCCGAAAGUCCAAGAGAAAUGAGCAAGCCAGCCCAUCUUUUUAUCACUCAAGCCCAAUCAAAAAAAAGCACGGGCUCUGACCUUCUAGCCCAACCGAAACCCAAAAGAAAUAGCACAAACCCAUUUUCAAAACCCAACUAAAACUAACUCUUGGCCCAUCAGAAAACACACAUUAGCCCAAACGUUUUUUUUUUCUUUUUUUUUUUCUUUCUCCUUCUUUUCUCCACUUCCAGCCGUUUUUCUUUCUCUUCUUCGGCCAGCUGAAGCGGCCAUGGCUGCCGCCGGAAUGCCGAAUUUUUCCGGUCACAAAAAUUAUCAAAAUACAUACUUCAACUCGAUUUUUCGCGUAGAUUCCAUUUUACGGAGUUAGUUUUUACCAAAAACGACCCAAAAGUGUCCAAAAUGUCAAAAAAAAACAGUCCAGUUUUUAUUUUUUCUAAUCACUCUAUUUUUCACCAAAAAAUCAUGAAAAUUAUACAACACUCUAUAAAUCCUACAAUACAAAUAUGAUUUUAUUUCGACAAGAAAAACAACAUAAAAGGGCUAAAAUAAAGCAAAAACAGUCCCCUAAGACUCUUUUUUUCAUUUUGGCAUUUUUUUCAAACGGUUAACAUGCGCAUGCAUAAGACACAUUUCCUUUUCCUCAAUCUAGUUCAUGUCAUUUCCCAAAUUUCAGCCAACGCAACAAUUACAAUAAAAAGCCAGCAAACAAGAGAAUUAAUAUACAACAACAACAAUAAAACCAGCAAAAGCAAGAGAAAUUGGGCAUUGAAACAUGGAUGUAA
rnacentral:lncRNA from 1 species